AUUGUGCUGCCUGGGUUCUCCGCGUUCUUCCAGCACUGCCUUUUUGGUCCCCACGUGGGUUCCAGGGUGAUGGCGGCGCUGGUUGUGUCGGAGACAGCGGAGCCAGGAAGCCGGGUCGGCCCUGGCAGAGGUCGCAUCUCUCGGGGUCGACUGGCCAAUCAGAUCCCCCCUGAGAUCCUGAACAAUCCCCAGCUGCAGGCUGCCGUCCAAGCCCUGCCUUCUAACUACAACUUUGAGAUCCCCAAGACCAUCUGGAGGAUCCAACAAGCCCAGGCCAAGAAGGUGGCCUUACAAAUGCCAGAAGGCCUCCUCCUCUUUGCUUGCACCAUUGUGGAUAUCUUGGAAAGGUUCACAGAGGCUGAAGUGAUGGUGAUGGGUGAUGUGACCUAUGGGGCCUGCUGUGUAGAUGACUUCACUGCAAGGGCCUUGGGAGUCGACUUUCUGGUGCACUAUGGCCACAGCUGUCUAGUUCCCAUGGACACGUCUGUCCAAGACUUCCGUGUGCUGUAUGUCUUUGUGGAUAUCCGCAUAGAUACUGCCCACCUUCUGGACUCGGUCCGCCUUACCUUCACCCCAGGCACUUCACUUGCUCUGGUCAGCACUAUUCAGUUUGUGUCAACUUUGCAGGCAGCUGCACAGGAGCUGAAAGCUGAUUAUCGUGUCAAUGUCCCACAGUGCAAGCCCCUCUCCCCUGGGGAGAUCCUAGGCUGCACAUCCCCUCGACUACCCAAGGAUGUGGAAGCUCUCGUGUAUCUUGGAGAUGGCCGCUUCCAUCUGGAGUCUGUCAUGAUUGGCAACCCUAAUGUCCCUGCUUACCGGUACGACCCAUACAGCAAAGUUCUAUCCAGAGAGCACUAUGACCAUCAGCGUAUGCAGGCCCUUCGCCAGGAAGCCAUUGCUGCGGCACGCUCAGCCAAGUCCUGGGGCCUCAUUCUGGGAACUUUGGGCCGACAGGGUAGUCCCAAGAUCCUGGAGCACUUGGAAUCUCGGCUCAAAGACUUGGGACUUCCCUUCGUGAGGCUUUUGCUCUCUGAGAUCUUCCCCAGCAAGCUCAGUCUACUUCCUGGGGUGGAUGUGUGGGUGCAGGUGGCAUGUCCACGCCUCUCCAUUGACUGGGGUUCAGCCUUUCCCAAGCCACUGCUGACACCCUACGAGGUAACAACCACAUUUGGAAAAUCUGCAGGAGUGCGCGCUUUGUACCUCCUGUCAAGAGAGGGUUGUGAGAUGGCUGGCAUCAUGAGCACAUUCCAAGGCGGCCGUGGCCCUGAAGGACAUUUCCUGGCAGCAGCCCUACCCUAUGGACUUCUACGCCGGCAGCUCCUUAGGGCCGUGGACAGUGAAUCACGGUCGGGACCCCGGGCCCCGGGGUAUCGGCCAGCCAGGCAAGGUGCAGCAGGGGUCGAGAGGCCCGUCUCCAGCCCAGGCCUGUGAGGGCUGCAGCUGCGCAGAGCCGAGGGCCGCACCGCCCGCUCCCUGAGACGUCGCGAGUCGCAGGGCCCUGUGCUCCGGAGGAGCAGCCUCGAGGCUGGUGGUUUUCUGAACAGGAAGCAGAUGUUUUCUCGGCGCUGGAAGAGCCUACAGCGUGCAGGGGUUUGGAGGCGGCCCUGGA